rnacentral:lncRNA from 1 species
UGAGGAGAACAUUUCAACAUCGAGCAAAUUUUUGAACGGUUGAAGAUAGAUAUGUGACUAAUCGACGAAAAAUGUGCCAAAUGGAAUGGAAAAGUUUUUGGUGAAAAAAAAAUUAUCUACUGGUCACGGUUUGCGAAAUACGAUUUUUUUUUGUCAAGUGCUGAAACAUCAACUCCGCGGCCCGCCACGGUAUAACGCGACAUAUUACAUCAUCCUCGCGGCCGCAACCAUUUUUGUUUUUUAGUCGCGCUUCGUUCGUCGAAGGUGUUAUGUGUGAAGAUGUUAUGUUAUGUGCAGUAUUAUCGGGACUCUUGGCCCUUGGGUGUGAAUAGACACGCUUCCAGAUAGUAAGUUUACCAGCUGUAGGCAAUAAAAUAAGUACAAUAGUUAAUUUCCUUUGUUAACCCAAAAUAAGCAAUGAAGCGUCCACAUAGUAUUGGAAAAGAAUCUCUCAAUUACAACCUGCGCAUAAUAUGUCAAGAAACUGUUCAGAAAUUGACUAGACAAGGCUAUCCUGCAUUAUUUAAUUCAGCCACGUUGAAAUUUGAUGAUAUCUCAGAUUUAUUAAAAAUGGAAAUGACGAAUGAGGAUGAAUUUAUGUCCAAAAAUCCUGUAUUCCAUGCUCAAUGUCGGCGAAAAUAUAAUAUGCAAUAUUAUAAAUCGAAAGAAUAUGUUACAAAGGUUGAUAAAAAAAGUAAGAUAGAGAAACUAUCUCGAGAAAAACUGUUACAGCAAGAUUUAUGCUUUGUCUGUCAAAAAAUGCGGGAUAUUAAAGGUAGUAGAAAAUUGAUAAACAUUUCUUCAUUUUUGCGACAAAACGAAAUUUGGAAGAAAGUCAAGGACUUAAAUGACGUAAACAUGCUAACAAAAAUUGAAGGUUUUGGUGAUUCGUGUGUGGAUAUGAUAGCAAAAGACUUCCAAUAUCACCAACUCUGUAUGACUAGAUAUUUAAAUAAAAAAGAGGCGACAUUGACAAAAUCGCCAAACGUCACAAGUUUCUACCCUUUUAAUGACCUUAAGAAUAUAUUAGUGGUUGAACAAAAAGGCGUUGCCAUCAGUUAGAUUAGGAAAAAAAAUUUGAAAACGCAUGACUCCAUAAUAUAUCUUAUUCUCCAAAAUAUCCCCGUUCGUUAGAUAUUAUAGCAAUUUUGAAAAUGAAAUAUGGAGAAAGUAUUGUGGUUCUAAAAAGACGAGGGCUAUCAUCUGUAGUUUUUUUAGCAAAUUCGAUCAUUAUCAAAAUGAAGAAACACAUUGUCGUAGACGACAGUGAAGCAAGCAUUUAAAGAAUUAUCUAUGGAUAAGUCUUUAAAUGCUCAAAUGAAUUUGGGUAGUUUACUUUUGAGUAUUUACAUUUUAACCGGUUGUGAUACAGUCAGCUUUAUAUUUAAAAAAGGCAAAACCAACGCUUUAAAAAAAUGUUUGAGUUACGAACACGACUAAAAGCACUUUUUACUUAUCCUGAAAAUGCUGGCCAGAAUUUAAAUAAUUUCGAAAACGCGGCUAGAUAUUUUUUUUUAAUUUUUUAUGCUAGGCCAUUAUUUACAGGUGAUUUAAAUAAAUUACGCGCUCAUUUAUUUCAUACCUGUAAAUCAGAUAUAAGGAAUUUGCCACCUACCGAGCAUGCAUUUCAUCAGCAUAUAUUAAGAGCUGCGUAUCAAUUGAUUGUCUGGAAGAGCGCUAUUUUAAUAAACCCAGAAAUUCCCAACCCCGUUGAUUUUGGUUGGGAUUUAAAAGAAAAUAAUUUACUCGUUCCAAAAUUGACCACAAUAAGUAUUCGUCCCGAUGCAAAAUUCGAAAAUGUGUGCUGCAAAUGCAAACUUCAAUGUACUAAAAAUUGUAGUUGUUUAAAAGCAGGGCUAGAUUGUAUAAUAGGUUGUUAUUGCGAGGGUGGGUGUUCUUUAAAUUUAAAUUAAGUUAGUUUAGUUACCCAAAUAUAUUGAUAUAUUUUUUUAGCCUCAUAUAGUUUAUAACGUAACUAUUCCGAAGUAAAUUUAUUUUUUAUUUUUGUGUUAUCAUUAUCCUAUAGUUAUUUUUAUUAUAAUAUACAAAUGAAUAGUGUCGAUAUAAAUUAUUAGUUUAAAUAAAUAUAUUUGUUUCUCUA